GAUUAGCCCGCGUUGGAUUAGGUAGUUGGUGGGGUAAUGGCCUACCAAGCCUACGAUCCAUAGCUGGUUUGAGAGGAUGAUCAGCCACACUGGGACUGAGACACGGCCCAGACUCCUACGGGAGGCAGCAGUGGGGAAUCUUAGACAAUGGGGGAAACCCUGAUCUAGCCAUGCCGCGUGAGUGAUGAAGGCCUUAGGGUUGUAAAGCUCUUUCAGCUGGGAAGAUAAUGACGGUACCAGCAGAAGAAGCCCCGGCUAACUCCGUGCCAGCAGCCGCGGUAAUACGGAGGGGGCUAGCGUUGUUCGGAAUUACUGGGCGUAAAGCGCACGUAGGCGGACUGGAAAGUUGGGGGUGAAAUCCCGGGGCUCAACCUCGGAACUGCCUCCAAAACUAUCAGUCUGGAGUUCGAGAGAGGUGAGUGGAAUACCGAGUGUAGAGG
rnacentral:rRNA from 1 species